GACAAGAAAUGACUUACACAUGGCUCCCACGUAAACACUCCAUCCCUGGUCCCCACCUGCUCCUGCCUGGCUCUUUCCCCUUCUUCCCCCUCUCCCACCUUCCUCUUCCUCUGCCAAAGGAUGAAGGCUUGGGACUGGGGGAAGGGGGCUGGCUGUUUGCAAGCUGGGGAUCCCAUUUGUCACCCCCAGCUUUCCCCAUGCAUAACUCAGUGGUCACUGGAGUGGGGUAGGGAUGCUGGUGGUGAGUCACCCUGCGAAGAUCCUCCCCAUGCCACGGGUCUGCUCAGCUACAAGGGGAUGUGUACUUCACCCUUUCCUCCAGCCCUCCCCAGUGCCUCCAGGCAAGCUGAGAGUCGGCAUUGUUGGCCUUCCUCCCCCGGCACCAGGGAAUGUGUGAGCUGGACAGGCUGAGUAAAAAUGACCUAAUGCAGAAAAGAAUUAGAAAAUGAGCAAUGAGAGAGGGUUAUAACAAUGCUUCCCGUAUGAGUUAGCAGCACCCAGGGGACUCCCACAGCCGCUGGAUUUCCUGUCCUGGCAGCAGCCCAGUCUGGCUUAUUUUGCUUCCUUGACAGACAGCAUCUGAGUCUGUUUUUAUUUUUACUUCAGAAGUGUGUUAUUUUCUCCUUUUUUGCUCCCCCAGAUUUCUGCAGGAGUGACACCACAAGUGCCAGUCCCGGAGCACAGCGGGACUUGUCCUCCCAGACCCAAGGCAAGGACGUAUACCUGGGGGGCAUCACUGCAUGAUGCUCCCCUGGGCAGGAUGAAACCCCACAAAGGGCAGCCCUGAGCCCCCCGGGGUCACAGCUGGUCCCCAGUCACUUUCCAGGGAGCUCAGCUACCCAAGAAAGAGGAAUUUGAUGUGGUCUCCAUCCACCUACAUCACUUGUUUAUGCUCCAGGAUGGGCGCCUUGGAGAAGCCCAAGAAAGGCUGAGCAGUGCCGGAGUGUCCUGGGACACAGCGCACACCUGUGAGGAAGGCAAACGCUUCAGUGAUUCUGCAGAAAUAAGAGAAGGGCUCCGUGCUCACGGCUGCGGGCAGCUCUGAAGUGGGGCUCACGUGCAACCUGGUGCUGCUCAGCACAAAGCACUCCUUGUUCCCAGGUGCUGGGCUGCUCCUUUGGGUGCUGCUGUAAGGCGGACACAUGGCUUAGUGCCUGCUCCCAAUAAGCCUUCAUCCAUCACAUACUCAUCAGCUGAAAAUAUUUCCAUUUUCUAUUUUCAGAAUGUCAUUUGUAGAUCACAGAUGACCCCAACACUCUUCUCUGGCAGCCUCUGCUGAUGAAGCACCGAGCUGCGGGGCAUUUGAAGGGCGAGGACACAUCACCUGCAAUAGCUGCUCCAGGUUUCCCACACCCUUCAUAUCAGGGCAUGAAGUCCUGGGGCAAUGGCACGGUGAGGACGAAGCUGGAGCUGCAGUGUCACCACGGGGUCUUCUGAGAUGCAUCCUUUCACUGGAGGGCAAGCAGAGGGCAGUGCCAUUUCCAGGAGAACAAAGGAGACACACCUGAUAUCUCCACCUCCCACCCGAGCCCAGCUUCUCCUGGAGAUCAGCACAUCUCUGAAGCAUGUGGGGACGGUGUUUGCGGAGUGACUCACACAACCCUGACGUGCUGGUAAUAAAUUCUGUUACAGCAAUAACCAAACUUCUAUUGCUAUUGCAGGGCUAUUUCUGUCUUCUCCAGGGAGUGAUCCCAGGUGCCCACAUCUCCGUCUUUCACACGCUGCCGCCUCUGUCCCCACCGUGACUGUCUGAGGCAGCUGGGAGGUGGUGAUGUGAACCUUGGCACCAGGUCCCUGCCCCGUGUGUCCCAGCGCUGCCCCAGCCCUCGCUGCCCGCCCUGAGGGAUGGGCUCACAUCCCGCACUCAACAAACAGGGUUGUGAUGUUGGGUGCCCCUGGGCAUCACCCAGCCAUGGGAAGGGAUGCGCAGGGCUCAUGGCACCCUUGGCAGCAAGAAGGCAGCACGAGGUUACACAAAAUCCCUCAUGGAGACCCCUGAAGCCCAGGAGAAAGGAGAGGAUAGGAAGGCUCUUGGGAUGGGGAGGAAGAGGAGGGUCCAGCUUGGAAGUACCUUUGCUCUACAGGAGAUUUGGGCACAGGGUGUUUCCUGGGGCUGUGUGGACAUCCUGGGCCAUACAUUGGGGCUUAAAAGAGCCAGGACAACCUGCCUGGUCAGUGGGGACCAGGGGCACCCCUACACCAGAUGGGGCUGGCAGAGCUCACAAGGACACUGUGCUGAGCCACCGGGUGCCAGCAACUCCAGGGAUGGUGACCAGGGAAGGGCUGUACCUGCCAUGGGGAGCUGUGCCCGUGGGUUAGGGGGCAGCCAUGCCACCCCCCUCCCACUGCCAGCAGCUCCCACACCACACAGAGGGACAGCUUCGUGAGCCAGCGGCACUGCAUGGCCCCAUGGUGCCAUGAGAACACCGAGCCACCCAAACCCGACCACAAGCAGCCCCAGGGACAGGCACGAGACAUCUCAACCACUGAAUGCACGGGAGCCAGCCCCUACAAAGCAUUUUCCCCACAGCCCCCAGCUGUGCCUGGUCGAGCCGUGCAGCCAGGACCUGACACAGCAACACUGGGCUUUUUGCUGCUCCUUUUGACAUGUCCCAUGGGGACACGCUGAUACACGAGGUCACCCACAUCUCUGGGCACUUCCUCAUUCACAGGCCCCUGCCCCGCUGGGUAUGCACAGCAAAUGCUGUCCCUGGGAACAGUCUCAUUUUGGGCAAAACUCUCUGUGUUUCUGGCCUCAGCCUUUAACCUAGGAGCAU